UACCCAGCAACUCACAUCCCUACCUCCUCGCGGUGCUGGCCGGGUGCCUCUUCCCCUUAGAAAAGUUUGGGUUUUCAACCCCGGUGGGAACUUUGAUUGUAUGCUGACUGGGAAUG
rnacentral:ribozyme from 1 species